rnacentral:lncRNA from 12 species
CUGGGAAGGAAGUAGGAGAGAGAACCCAUUGCUGUUUGUUUUCUCUCAAACCCCAGAGCCACCUGCUUUACACAGAAGGACAAAGGGCCCUGAAAUCAACCAGCCACAGACAGGCUCUCCACAAAAACUUUAUGGGCACCCCCUUGGCCAUAGGUGAACUGGCAGUGACAAGAACACCGAACACCAGAGAAAGACCACCAGUGCCUAAGAGCUGGUCCUGCCUUGCUGCCCAGGGAAGUCUCCUCCCACUACUGGCCUUCAGGAACAAGUGCUUAGCCGAGCAUCCCCUGCAGACACAUCACAGAGCCAGGACACGGGGAAGCAAUGUGGCAGUGCGGCAGUGCCCGCUGGCCAUGACAAGAAGAGCUGGCUCUGGGGGAAAGGAAGCCAAGGAAGGCUGCAGAGACGAGAGAGAGGCAAGGAAGAAUGGGUGGGAGGUGGAGGUGGAAAAAGCUCCAAAACCAAGCCAGAAGAUGACACCAUGGAGGUCACUUCAGCCCCUGUGUAUCCCUGUCUGUUAUCCGGAGGGCCACAGAAAAGCCAAAGGAGGCAGAUUUUCAAGACCUUUAUGGAAAGAGAAUGAGAGCUUACAGCGGCCCAGUGCUGUGCACACAUUUGGGACAAGGGAAUGGAUCUGUGAUGGCACCAGUUAUAUGCAGGGGACCUAGAGUGGAGUUAGCAUGAAGAUUCCCAUCCCAGUGCUGAGCUGACACGAAAACAUUCUAUGGCUCCCUCCAGAUAUAGCCAACUUUACUCCUUAAGACAGAUGCUUUUUGUGUGCCAAUAACUAUGUCAAGAAUUUACCUGG